GAAUAUUGGACAAUGGGGGAAACCCUGAUCCAGCGACGCCGCGUGAGUGAAGAAGUAUUUCGGUAUGUAAAGCUCUAUCAGCAGGGAAGAAAAUGACGGUACCUGACUAAGAAGCCCCGGCUAACUACGUGCCAGCAGCCGCGGUAAUCCGUAGGGGGCAAGCGUUAUCCGGAUUUACUGGGUGUAAAGGGAGCGUAGACGGCACUGCAAGUCUGGAGUGAAAGCCCGGGGCUCAACCCCGGGACUGCUUUGGAAACUGUGGUGCUAGAGUGCAGGAGAGGUAAGUGGAAUUCCUAGUGUAGCGGUGAAAUGCGUAGAUAUUAGGAGGAACACCAGUGGCGAAGGCGGCUUACUGGACUGUAACUGACGUUGAGGCUCGAAAGCGUGGGGAGCAAACAGG
rnacentral:rRNA from 1 species